AUUGAACGCUGGCGGCAGGCCUAACACAUGCAAGUCGAGCGAGCGGCGGACGGGUGAGUAAUGCCUAGGAAUCUGCCUGGUAGUGGGGGGUAACGUCCGGAAACGGGCGCUAAUACCGCAUACCCUCGGAUGUGCCCAGAUUGGAUUAGAUUGUAGGUGAGGUAACGUGUCACCUAGGCGACGAUCCCUAGCUGGUCUGAGAGGAUGACCAGCCACACUGGAAGUGAGACCCGGUCCAGACUCCUACGGGAGGCAGCAGUGGGGAAUCGUGCACAAUGGGCGAAAGCCUGAUGCAGCCAUGCCGCGUGGAUGAAGAAGGCCUUCGGUUUGUAAAGUACUUUCAGCGGGGAGGCGUUACCCGCAGAAGAAGCACCGGCUAACUCCGUGCCAGCAGCCGCGGUAAUAC
rnacentral:rRNA from 1 species